UACGUAGGGGGCGAGCGUUGUCCGGAUUUACUGGGGGUAAAGAGCGCGCAGGCGGUCAUACAAGUCGCGUGUGAAAGCCCCCGGCUCAACUGGGGAGGGUCACGCGAUACUGUUCGACUGGAAGGCAGGAGAGGGAAGUGGAAUUCCCGGUGUAGUGGUGAAAUGCGUAGAUAUCGGGAGGAACACCAGUGGCGAAGGCGACUUCCUGGCCUGUUCUUGACGCUGAGGCGCGAAAGCUAGGGUAGCAAACGGG
rnacentral:rRNA from 1 species